rnacentral:rRNA from 1 species
UACAGAGGGGGGCAAGCGUUUAUUCGGAAUUACUGGGCGUAAAGCGUGCGCAGGCGGCUUUGCAAGACAGAUGUGAAAUCCCCGGGCUCAACCUGGGAACUGCAUCUGUGACUGUAUAGCUAGAGUACGGUAGAGGGGGAUGGAAUUCCGCGUGUAGCAGUGAAAUGCGUAGAUAUGCGGAGGAACACCGAUGGCGAAGGCAAUCCCCUGGACCUGUACUGACGCUCAUGCACGAAAGCGUGGGGAGCAAACAGG